rnacentral:tRNA from 1 species
UCCUGGUUAGCUCAGUUGGUAGAGUGCUCUGCUGGAAAUGAGAGAGGUCCCUGGUUUAAUACCAGGACAAGGUU